AUGAAGGGGGCCGAGGUUAAGGUCACAGGGAACAGCUGGGAGGCAGCUGCCCGAGUUCCUGUGAGUCCUGACAAGGCUACAGAGGGGCCGUGGGGCCGGACAGUCAGGGAUUCUGGGGCCAGAAGAGGCCUUGGUUGUGAGAGCGAUGUGAGAAAGGCACUUGAUAAGCUGCCUGCAGCAGUUUCUCCUAAGGGGUCUGCCAAAAACUGCGUGGGAUUUCAGGGUCUGGUUUUCUUCGCCUUCUUCAGGUCGGUUACAUUUCCCAGAAUGGUUCCCAGCGCUGGAGAUAAUUCCUUUUCGGAGAACCUACAUUUCUCACCUGCUGAUUGCAAUUAG
rnacentral:lncRNA from 1 species